AUACCUCAACCCCUAAUAGUUUUAUUACGAAAGGCGUGUUGGUCUUGAGCGUUUGCCGGUCUAGUAUCGGCUCGCUUUAAAUUCAUUAGCUGGAUCCACCUUGACCUGGUUCUACUCGGCGUAAUAAGUUAUUAUCGUCGAGGAUAGUCUUUUCGGAGGCUAGCCACAGUAAUGGUGCUUGAGCCGCUUCUAAUACGUUAGCUGCUUGCAGAAACACUUUUAAG
rnacentral:misc_RNA from 1 species